UUGCUGCUGACCAUUAUUGGGAGUUGGACUACAGACUCCAGGAGUGCUUCGGAGCCAGACAACUGAUGCGGAUUUCUCUGGAAAGCAGCUUCCUGCUUCAGUUGGCAGACCUCCUCGGGGAAAUUCAGGCAUCUAUAUUUAAUCUACUCUAAGAUUCAAGGCCAGAGUCCAUGAGAAGACCUGACUGCAAAACCUGACUCAAGGACCCUGAAACCAGUAAUUCAAAUGGAGAAAGCCACUGCUCUACCACAGAGUUCAGCAUGCAUCUUGCUGGGGAGUCAGGGUUUUGGCAGAAGCCAGAGGAGCUGAAGGCCAACUGCUGCCCCAGGACACAGGACACAAGGAAAGCUGCAAGAAGUGUCCAGCUGCAACUCAGUCCCUACAUCUGUACCUUCUCAUAGGGCCAUCACUCAAGAACAGUGCAAGGGAGGAAGCGGCUCCGAUAGAAGAGGUUGGGUUGCUCUUCUCCUGGUUUCUAAAUACUAGGCCAGAAAAGGUUUCUAGUGCAGUGGAAGACCCAGCGUGUCAAACAACUUGAUCCUUUGCUUUGUUCAUGAUCUAAAAUCUGAAAGAUUCUAAAUUCCUACAGUUUAAUAAAUGGUCUCCCCAUGUGCCUCCCAGUCA